AAUACUCCCCAACCUCUGCCAGCCACUGUCACCCUGCUGGGGAGAGUGCUCCUCCUCAUUCCUCUCUGUACCUUGGGCUUAGUUCUAUUGAGCACCAACACCUUGAGAGAGAAAUUUUUCUUUUUUAAGUAUCUGUCACCCCAAACAAGUCUGCAAACGGAUCAAGGCCAGGGCUAGCUCUUCAUCAUCUUGGACACCUUUAAGAAAAUCGUUAUCUGCAGAUAUGAGUCAGAGAUUAUUACCGGCUCAUCUGCAGGAGGCUUCACAGCCCAUCCUGCUGACAAGAUUCUCUGCCCAGAGGAGCUGACAAGACUCUCUACCCGGAGGGUCAUGUUACUGACCUGAAGUGCAAAAGAAAGCCUGGCCAGUUCCAGUCUCCUACGUCUCCAUGGUAAACAAUACUGAGGUGAGUACAAGGACAACAAGUGACUAGAAGAAGCCCAGUGAGUCUGGCAACAAAAUCCAGGCUCUGAAGAACUCCCCUUCCUUGGCUCAUGGCUUUGGGAGUUCCUGACUCCCACCACAGCAACCUUGUCUUACAGUCUUAAAGCCUGCAUGAAGGUUUGCUAAUGCUUCUGACAAAGACCUUUCCUACACUGGCCAGUUAUUUGAGGAAAACAUUUUUACCAGAGUACCUUAAUAAUAAACAUCAUUCCUUCUC